rnacentral:rRNA from 1 species
UGGUAAUGCCGGAUGCUCCAGCUUUUCGCAUGGUUUUUUGGGAAAGCUUUCGCGGUAUGGGAUGGGGUCGCGUCCUAUCAGCUUGACGGCGGGGUAACGGCCCACCGUGGCUUCGACGGGUAGCCGGCCUGAGAGGGCGACCGGCCACAUUGGGACUGAGAUACGGCCCAGACUCCUACGGGAGGCAGCAGUGGGGAAUAUUGCACAAUGGGCGCAAGCCUGAUGCAGCGACGCCGCGUGAGGGAUGGAGGCCUUCGGGUUGUAAACCUCUUUUAUCGGGGAGCAAGCGAGAGUGAGUUUACCCGUUGAAUAAGCACCGGCUAACUACGUGCCAGCAGCCGCGGUAAUACGUAGGGUGCAAGCGUUAUCCGGAAUUAUUGGGCGUAAAGGGCUCGUAGGCGGUUCGUCGCGUCCGGUGUGAAAGUCCAUCGCUUAACGGUGGAUCCGCGCCGGGUACGGGCGGGCUUGAGUGCGGUAGGGGAGACUGGAAUUCCCGGUGUAACGGUGGAAUGUGUAGAUAU